AUUGAACGCUGGCGGAAUGCUUUACACAUGCAAGUCGAACGGCAGCACGGGUGCUUGCACCUGGUGGCGAGUGGCGAACGGGUGAGUAAUAUAUCGGAACGUACCCAGUAAUGGGGGAUAACUAACCGAAAGGUUAGCUAAUACCGCAUACGCCCUGAGGGGGAAAGCGGGGGAUCGAAAGACCUCGCGUUAUUGGAGCGGCCGAUAUCUGAUUAGCUAGUUGGUGGGGUAAAGGCCCACCAAGGCGACGAUCAGUAGCUGGUCUGAGAGGAUGAUCAGCCACACUGGAACUGAGACACGGUCCAGACUCCUACGGGAGGCAGCAGUGGGGAAUUUUGGACAAUGGGCGAAAGCCUGAUCCAGCCAUUCCGCGUGAGUGAAGAAGGCCUUCGGGUUGUAAAGCUCUUUCGGCAGGGAAGAAAAGGUUUCUACUAAUACUAGGAGCUCAUGACGGUACUGUAAGAAUAAGCACCGGCUAACUACGUGCCAGCCGCCGCGGUAA
rnacentral:rRNA from 1 species